rnacentral:rRNA from 1 species
UACUAGAGUAGCACUCGCAUAUCAAUAAGCGGAGGAAAAGAAACUAACAAGGAUUCCCCUAGUAACGGCGAGUGAAGCGGGAAGAGCUCAAAUUUGAAAUCUUAAAGGGUUUCCCUUUACGAAUUGUAGUUUAAAGAAGUGUUUUCUGUUGAGGUUUUGGUAAAAGUUCUUUGGAAUAGGACAUCAUAGAGGGUGAGAAUCCCGUAUUUGACCUUUACUUUCAACUUUGUGAUACACUUUCAAAGAGUCGGAUUGUUUGGGAAUGCAGUCCAAAAUGGGUGGUAAAUUUCAUCUAAAGCUAAAUAUUGGCGAGAGACCGAUAGCGAACAAGUACCGUGAGGGAAAGAUGAAAAGAACUUUGAAAAGAGAGUUAAACAGUACGUGAAAUUGUCAAAAGGGAAGCGUUUGACACCAGUGUUGUUUUUCUGAAAAUCAAUUAAAGAACUGUUUAUGCUAAGCUGUUUAGACUUUAUCAGCUAUCUGUUUAGUUUUGAGCUUUUCUUUAAUGCACUUUUCAGUUAACAAGUCAACAUCAAUUUCUCUUGCUGUAAAAAAGCUUGAGGAAGGUGGCUUGAGAUUCGUCUUAAGUGUUUAUAGCCUCUUGCCUAUGCAGUCGGAGAGAUUGAGGUCUGCAGCGUAGAUCCUUCGGGGCUAAAUGCAUUUGUGCUAAGUUAUAGCAUUUUAUAGACAACUUGUUGACUAUGAUUUGUCUUGUAGCUUACUCGCUUAUGUUAUUUUACCUACGCUUAGGAUGUGAGCGCAUGUCUCUCUCU